rnacentral:snRNA from 1 species
GCAUUUCGGCAACACAUAUACUAAAAUUGGCAAUACAGAGAUUAGUCAUGGCUCCUGCACAAGGAUGAUACCGCAAAUUCCAGGAAGCAUUCCAUAUUAAA